UACGGAGGGUGCAAGCGUUGCUCGGAAUCACUGGGCGUAAAGCGUACGCAGGCGGCUUGUAAGGUCGGGUGUGAAAGCCCGGGGCUCAACCCCGGAAUUGCACUCGAAACCGGCAGGCUUGAGUACGGGAGAGGAGAGCGGAAUUCCUGGUGUAGAGGUGAAAUUCGUAGAUAUCAGGAGGAACACCCGUGGCGAAAGCGGCUCUCUGGCCCGAUACUGACGCUCAUGUACGAAAGCGUGGGGAGCAAACAGG
rnacentral:misc_RNA from 1 species